UACGAAGGGGGCUAGCGUUGCUCGGAAUCACUGGGCGUAAAGGGUGCGUAGGCGGGUUUUUAAGUCAGGGGUGAAAUCCUAGAGCUCAACUCCAGAACUGCCUUUGAUACUGAAGAUCUUGAGUCCGGGAGAGGUGAGUGGAACUGCGAGUGUAGAGGUGAAAUUCGUAGAUAUUCGCAAGAACACCAGUGGCGAAGGCGGCUCACUGGCCCGGUACUGACGCUGAGGUGCGAAAGCGUGGGGAGCAAACAGG
rnacentral:rRNA from 1 species